rnacentral:rRNA from 1 species
UACGUAGGGUGCGAGCGUUAAUCGGAAUUACUGGGCGUAAAGCGUGCGCAGGCGGUUUUGUAAGCCGGAUGUGAAAUCCCCGGGCUUAACCUGGGAAUGGCAUUCGGGACUGCAAGGCUGGAGUGCGGCAGAGGAGACUGGAAUUCCUGGUGUAGCAGUGAAAUGCGCAGAUAUCAGGAGGAACACCGGUGGCGAAGGCGGCGCUCUGGAACAUUUCUGACGCUGAGGCUCGAAAGCGUGGGGAGCAAACAGG